rnacentral:rRNA from 1 species
ACCCUUAGAUGUUCUGGGCCGCACGCGCGCUACAAUGAUGAAUUCAACGAGUUUAUAACCUUGGUUGAAAAGCCUGGGUAAUCUUUUGAACUUUCGUCGUGAUGGGGCUAGACCCUUGCAAUUAUUGGUCUCCAACGAGGAAUUCCUAGUAAACGCAAGUCAUCAGCUUGCAUUGAUUACGUCCAUGCCCUUUGUACACACCGCCCGUCGCACCUACCGAUUGAAUGGUCCGGUGAAAUCUUCGGAUUGAGACUUUGAUUUCUUCACGGAAAACGCUGUUUUAAAAAGUUGAUUAAACCUUACCAUUUAGAGGAAGGUGAAGUCGUAACA